rnacentral:rRNA from 1 species
GAUGACAUUACCGAGUCUAACACUCAUCACUCUUGUGAACAUACCUAAAACGUUGCUUCGGCGGGAACAGACGGCCCCGUAAAACGGGCCGCCCCCGCCAGAGGACCCCUAACUCUGUUGCUAUAUGUAUCUUCUGAGUAAACAAGCAAAUAAAUUAAAACUUUCAACAACGGAUCUCUUGGCUCUGGCAUCGAUGAAGAACGCAGCGAAAUGCGAUAAGUAAUGUGAAUUGCAGAAUUCAGUGAAUCAUCGAAUCUUUGAACGCACAUUGCGCCCGCCAGUAUUCUGGCGGGCAUGCCUGUUCGAGCGUCAUUACAACCCUCAGGCCCCCGGGCCUGGCGUUGGGGAUCGGCGAGGCGCCCCCUGUGGGCACGCGCCGUCCCCCAAAUACAGUGGCGGUCCCGCCGCAGCUUCCAUUGCGUAGUAGCUAACACCUCGCAACUGGAGAGCGGCGCGGCCAUGCCGUAAAACACCCAACUUCUGAAUGUUGACCUCGAAUCAGGUAGGAAUACCCGCUGAACUUAAGCAUACA